rnacentral:tRNA from 1 species
UGGGCGUGUUACUUAGGUAGUCUACUCUGCAAAGGUAGUUUUUAGUGGUUACACUCGCGCCUUAU